rnacentral:sRNA from 1 species
GCUGCUGCUGCUGCUGCUGCUGCUGCAGCUGUGUUUGUUGUGUUUGCAGUUAUCGGUGCGGAAUAGGCUUUUGUAUUUGGCCAAAAUAAGGAAAAUGAAGGAGCAGCAGCAGCAGCAGCAGCAGCAGC